rnacentral:rRNA from 1 species
AGUGAACGCUGGCGGUAGGCCUAACACAUACAAGUCGAACGGCAGCACAGUAAGAGCUUGCUCUUACGGGUGGCGAGUGGCGGACGGGUGAGGAAUACAUCGGAAUCUACUUUUUCGUGGGGGAUAACGUAGGGAAACUUACGCUAAUACCGCAUACGACCUACGGGUGAAAGCAGGGGAUCUUCGGACCUUGCGCGAUUGAAUGAGCCGAUGUCGGAUUAGCUAGUUGGCGGGGUAAAGGCCCACCAAGGCGACGAUCCGUAGCUGGUCUGAGAGGAUGAUCAGCCACACUGGAACUGAGACACGGUCCAGACUCCUACGGGAGGCAGCAGUGGGGAAUAUUGGACAAUGGGCGCAAGCCUGAUCCAGCCAUACCGCGUGGGUGAAGAAGGCCUUCGGGUUGUAAAGCCCUUUUGUUGGGAAAGAAAAGCAGCAGGUUAACACCCCGCUGUUCUGACGGUACCCAAAGAAUAAGCACCGGCUAACUUCGUG